UCCUCAAUAGUCCAGAGGUUUAGGAUAUCUCGCUUUCACCAACACACAGCAGUGUGAAGGGGAGCCGAGAAGACCCGGGUUCGAUUCCCGGUUGGGGAA
rfam:Rhodosporidium toruloides NP11 unplaced genomic scaffold Scaffold12, whole genome shotgun sequence.